rnacentral:lncRNA from 1 species
CUGCGAUUGGUUUUGCCCGAGUUUUAUUUUUGUCUGUCUCAGCUAGAAAGUGGGAGACUUUCAUUUAAAAUGGAAAUUGGGGCGAGGGGUUGGCGGCUGGGCGAAGGGAGCAUUCAAAAGCGGAGAAUGUCACUUUACCCGAGAAAUUCACUACGAUGGGCCAUUGGUUUCUGCUCGGCUCGCAGGCGCACUGCACGAGUGGAGGUGUGGCUAGUGGCUGUGAUGAGAUAAAUCCAUGCAUAGCCUUUUCAUUGCGAGCUUGAAAGUUCUUUUCUAUUACAGUUUUAGCUUUAGGUUUAAUUGGUUCGACUGCCUUCUCCACAAUUUGGGCGAGAAUUUCCUUUGCCUUCUCAGCAAAAGUUGUUCUGCGGACCCGUCUGGGUCAACUUUCAUGAGGGACAUUGAGACAAACAAAUGAAAUAUGGGUUAAAGUACUCUGAGCAGCUACAAAAAGAAGACCAGUCUAUCCUGCUGGAGACAGUGGCCACGUGAAGAAAGAGCUCUUGCAGUAUGAAAGACCACAUGGAAAGAGAGGCCACAUGGAACCAACAGUCAGCAUCUUGGUUUCGGACACGUGAAGAAAUUCAUCUCAGACUGUGUAUCCUAAAUCAGGCACUUGCUGAAUCUAACUACAUGAGUGAGACCAGUUGACAACACAUGGAGCAGACAUGAGCUGUUCUCAGUGAGUCCUACACAAAUUCCUGACUCACAACACUGUGAGCAAUAAAAUGGUUGUUAUUUUAAGCCACUGAAGUUUGCAGUGAUUUCUUACAUAGGAAUAGAUAAAUGAAACACAAACAUUGAUCAUUUGCAUCUUCUAUCUUUUUUAUGACUAGUCUUAUUGGAAAUUACCAGUUUAUUUCUGCCAUGGUUAGAAAACAAACUCUGAAAUUUUGAUACUUUAAAAUUUUUUUGAGACUUACUGUGCCCAGAAUAUAGUCUAUCUUGGUGAAUGUUCUGUGAGCACUAGACAAGAAUAUGUAUUCUGUAGUUAUUGAGCAUUGUGUCCAUCAAUGUCAACGUGAUUAAGGUGGUUAAUAGUUGUCUUCAGAUCUUCUAUAUUGUAUUGAUUGUUUUAUGUGUAGUGUUGCUAUUAAUUAUUGAUACAGGAGUGUAAAACUUAAACUAUGGCUGUGAAUUUGCCACUUACUUUAGUUUUGUCAGCUUUUCUUUUGCAUUUUUGAAGCUCUGUUAUUGGGCAUAUAAACAUUUAUGGUUCGUGUGUCUUCCUGAUGAAUUGACCAUUUUAUCAUUAUGAAAUGUCUUUAUUGCUGAUAAUACUCCUUAUCUUGAAGUCUAAUUCAUCCGAUAUUAGUAUAGCCACUGCAGCCUUCCUAGCUUACUGUUUACUGGUAUAUUUUUAUCCAUGUUUUUACUUUCAACCUGUGUUUUUUAAUUUAAUGUGCUUCUCUUAUAGACAACAGAUAGUUGAGUUUGUCUAUCAUUUUGCUAUUUGUUUUCGAUUUGUCCCAUUCAGUUUUGUGUUCCUUUGUUCUUUACUUCCUGCUUUCUUUUGGGUUAAUUAAUGUUUUUAUAUUUCAUCUUAAUUCCUCUGUUGGCUUUAACUGUAUCUUUUUGCAUUAUUGCUUUACAGUGUUUCUGAGAAUUAUGAUAUACAUUCUUAACUUAUCACAGCCUUAGAGUUAAAAUUAUGAUACUUCAUGUAAAAUAAAAGAGCCUUGCAAUAGUAAAGUUCUACUUACC